CCAAUAGCGUAUAUUAAAGUUGUUGCAGUUAAAAAGCUCGUAGUUGAAUUUCGGGAUCAAUAUAUCGGUCGUGCCUUGGUACGUACUGGUAUCAUUGGUUUCUCCUUUCUGACGAACCAUGAUGUCAUUAAUUUGGUGUUAUGGGAAGUUAGGACUGUUACUUUGAAAAAAUUAGAGUGUUUAAAGCAGGCUUUAGCUUGAAUACAUUAGCAUGGAAUAAUGAAAUAGGACGUUCGAACCUAUUUUGUUGGUUUCUAGGAUCAACGUAAUGAUUAAUAGGGAUAGUUGGGGGCAUUAGUAUUCAAUUGUCAGAGGUGAAAUUCUUGGAUUUAUUGAAGACUAACUACUGCGAAAGCAUUUGCCAAGGAUGUUUUCAUUAAUCAAGAACGAAAGUUAGGGGAUCGAAGACGAUCAGAUACCGUCGUAGUCUUAACCAUAAACUAUGCCGACUAGGGAUCGGAUGAUGUUAAUUUUUUAAUGACUCAUUCGGCGCCUUACGGGAAACCAAGUGUUUGGGUUC
rnacentral:misc_RNA from 1 species